rnacentral:rRNA from 1 species
CACGUAGGGGGCAAGCGUUGUCCGGAUUUAUUGGGCGUAAAGAGCUCGUAGGCGGCUCAGUAAGUCAGGUGUGAAACCUCCAGGCUCAACCUGGAGACGCCACCUGAUACUGCCGUGGCUAGAGUCCGGUAGGGGAGCGUGGAAUUCCUGGUGUAGCGGUGAAAUGCGCAGAUAUCAGGAGGAACACCAGCGGCGAAGGCGGCGCUCUGGGCCGGAAGCUGACGCUGGAGGAGCGAAAGCGUGGGUAGCAAACAGG